CUGCUGCCUAGAGAGGACUGGAAUUGACUUGUCUGACCGCUCUUUUUGAGGACAUUAUCUGCAGUCCCUGAAGGGAGCAUGUCUCCAACAGGCCAGCCUGCUGCUCUCUCCUCUCCAGCCAACCCCACCCUGCUUCACACCCUCAGUGGGCCUGGAGGCAACUGGAAUGCACAACUGACCAUGUCACUGUUUUGUUCUGGGCUCCUUGGAAGAGUUACACACCCCAGCAACUCAGGUCCAGUUUCCUUAGUGGGAAUCAGAGAGCCCCAAACUCUGCUCUCAUACCUUAAGGGCCAACCAGACUGAGAUCCCUGAACUCACACAACUUCUUCUUGCUUCUGGGAGUCUCCAUAUGCCACUGGGGACUCCCUUUCCCCUGGAGUGCAUCAGGAGGACCACUACUGCCUACCUGCUUGUGCAUCUGCUAGUGACACCUGCUCCCCUAUCUGUCGUGUCUCACUGCCCUUUCUAGUAACAUUGCCUGGGCCUGAGAAGACAGAAUGUGUGGCUCCUGACUCCUCCGCGUUCCUGUUGUCCCCAUCACACUCAGGACACCAUAGUAUGAUUGUCUUUUAGUCUCCAUCUCUUUAUCCCCUGCCUCAACCCCUCCCAGUGACACACAAAAAAAGUAAUGGGAAACUGCAAGCACUGGGAGAGCAGGGCAUUUAUCAGGAAAUUUAUCAAUUUCUGAACUAUGUAGUACAGUGCCUGGUUCAGAACAGAUUCUCAAUAAAAUGUUUGAAUAAUGUA